UUACACUAGUGUGUACAUAGGAAACGAUUUAAACAUUUAUGAACAUAAUUGAACAUAAUUAUAUCAUUAUUGAGUGUCAGACACACUUCUUAUAUCUGUUAUAAGUACUCUGAGUGAAGACUGAAUUUGUGUAAAUGCGUGUGCUGCUACCUCAUAACUAUGAUUAUGCCAUUCGCAGCUUAACUCAUUUAGACGAGCACAUCCUGUAACGUUAGCGUCUUUUCUCACGCUUUUCUGGGUGAAGGUAACAUUAGUUGAUUACUGUUGAGACAUUCUGGCUGCUAACCAUCUAUCAGUAAUAAACGUUAUCCAGGGUAACUGCCAUUUAAAUGUUAUUGCAAUGGUUUCAUAAUUAGACCCAUUUUAAUUUAAGUUGCAGUCUUGUGCUCAAAUUGUUUACAACACUUGUUACAACUAAAACACAUUCAAAAGAUAUUUAUUAUUAGUUUUGCUUUAUAUGAUUCAUGUCACUUGUUUUUCUCUAGGAAAGCAGUUGUUCCCCAUGCAACAUUUUGAGUUGCAUCAGUGCUAGGCCUCUUGCAUCAAGACAUCCACUUUACGGUUUGCUGGAUAUGUUAAUGGAUGUUCAAUGUCGGUCCUGGAGAGCCACAGUCCUGCAGAGUUUAGCUCCAACUUUGUUUAACAAACCUGUUUUGAAGUUUCUAGUAUGUUUUGUGAGACCUUGAUUGGCUGUUCAGGUGUGUUUGAUUAGAGUUGAAGCGAAACUUUGCAGGACACAGGCCCUCCAGGACUGACUUUGCACACCCCUGUGUUAAUGGACAGGAUCUCUGCAAGAGACAACACACACGAUGUUGACUACGUCCUCAGCCACGUUUCUCCUGAAAUUAGUGCAAGAGUGAGCUCCACAGCUUUGGUAAAACGGAAGAUCAUAAGCUACUUAAAUAUUUCCUUCAAGGAAUAUGGAGAUGGACUUUGCAUUGUAUACUGCAUCUAAAAAGACUCGAAAUCUAUCCAAGAUAUGACUUUCCUCAUCAGAACAGCAUGAAUGGCUCCAUCUAAUACAAGUGCAUGACCAUCAAUUUAA